rnacentral:rRNA from 1 species
CUAUAAUGCAGUCGAACGAACUCUGGUAUUGAUUGGUGCUUGCAUCAUGAUUUACAUUUGAGUGAGUGGCGAACUGGUGAGUAACACGUGGGAAACCUGCCCAGAAGCGGGGGAUAACACCUGGAAACAGAUGCUAAUACCGCAUAACAACUUGGACCGCAUGGUCCGAGUUUGAAAGAUGGCUUCGGCUAUCACUUUUGGAUGGUCCCGCGGCGUAUUAGCUAGAUGGUGGGGUAACGGCUCACCAUGGCAAUGAUACGUAGCCGACCUGAGAGGGUAAUCGGCCACAUUGGGACUGAGACACGGCCCAAACUCCUACGGGAGGCAGCAGUAGGGAAUCUUCCACAAUGGACGAAAGUCUGAUGGAGCAACGCCGCGUGAGUGAAGAAGGGUUUCGGCUCGUAAAACUCUGUUGUUAAAGAAGAACAUAUCUGAGAGUAACUGUUCAGGUAUUGACGGUAUUUAACCAGAAAGCCACGGCUAACUACGUGCCAGCAGCCGCGGUAAUACGUAGGUGGCAAGCGUUGUCCGGAUUUAUUGGGCGUAAAGCGAGCGCAGGCGGUUUUUUAAGUCUGAUGUGAAAGCCUUCGGCUCAACCGAAGAAGUGCAUCGGAAACUGGGAAACUUGAGUGCAGAAGAGGACAGUGGAACUCCAUGUGUAGCGGUGAAAUGCGUAGAUAUAUGGAAGAACACCAGUGGCGAAGGCGGCUGUCUGGUCUGUAACUGACGCUGAGGCUCGAAAGUAUGGGUAGCAAACAGGAUUAGAUACCCUGGUAGUCCAUACCGUAAACGAUGAAUGCUAAGUGUUGGAGGGUUUCCGCCCUUCAGUGCUGCAGCUAACGCAUUAAGCAUUCCGCCUGGGGAGUACGGCCGCAAGGCUGAAACUCAAAGGAAUUGACGGGGGCCCGCACAAGCGGUGGAGCAUGUGGUUUAAUUCGAAGCUACGCGAAGAACCUUACCAGGUCUUGACAUACUAUGCAAAUCUAAGAGAUUAGACGUUCCCUUCGGGGACAUGGAUACAGGUGGUGCAUGGUUGUCGUCAGCUCGUGUCGUGAGAUGUUGGGUUAAGUCCCGCAACGAGCGCAACCCUUAUUAUCAGUUGCCAGCAUUAAGUUGGGCCCUCUGGUGAGACUGCCGG